UACGUAGGGGGCAAGCGUUGUCCGGAAUCAUUGGGCGUAAAGCGUGCGCAGGCGGUUUUGCAAGACAGAUGUGAAAUCCCCGGGCUCAACCUGGGAACUGCAUUUGUGACUGCAUAGCUGGAGUGCGGCAGAGGGGGAUGGAAUUCCGCGUGUAGCAGUGAAAUGCGUAGAUAUGCGGAGGAACACCGAUGGCGAAGGCAAUCCCCUGGGCCUGCACUGACGCUCAUGCACGAAAGCGUGGGGAGCAAACAGG
rnacentral:rRNA from 1 species